UGCAGGCCUGGUGGUAGGUCAUGUGGGGUGAUGAGGGUUGCAUGCCUGGUGGUAGGUCAUGUGGGGUGAUGAGGGUUGCAUGCCUGGUGGGAGGUCAUGUGGGGUGAUGAGGGUUGCAUGCCUGGUGGUAGGUCAUGUGGGGUGAUGAGGGUUGCAUGCCUGGUGGUAGGUCAUGUGGGGUGAUGAGGGUUGCAUGCCUGGGCGGAGGUCAUGUGGGGUGAUGAGGGUUGCAUGCCUGGUGGGAGGUCAUGUGGGGUGAUGAGGGUUGCAUGCCUGGUGGGAGGUCAUGUGGGGUGAUGAGGGUUGCAUGCCUGGUGGGAGGUCAUGUGGGGUGAUGAGGG
ensembl:lncRNA